rnacentral:rRNA from 1 species
GUCCAGACUCCUACGGGAGGCAGCAGUGGGGAAUAUUGCACAAUGGGGGAAACCCUGAUGCAGCGACGCCGCGUGAGCGAAGAAGUAUUUCGGUAUGUAAAGCUCUAUCAGCAGGGAAGAAAAUGACGGUACCUGAGUAAGAAGCUCCGGCUAAAUACGUGCCAGCAGCCGCGGUAAUACGUAUGGAGCAAGCGUUAUCCGGAUUUACUGGGUGUAAAGGGAGCGCAGGCGGUCUGGCAAGUCUGAUGUGAAAUACCGGGGCUCAACUCCGGGACUGCAUUGGAAACUGUCAGACUGGAGUGUCGGAGAGGCAGGUGGAAUUCCUGGUGUAGCGGUGAAAUGCGUAGAUAUCAGGAGGAACACCAGUGGCGAAGGCGGCCUGCUGGACGAUGACUGACGCUGAGGCUCGAAAGCGUGGGGAGCAAACAGGAUUAGAUACCCGCGUAA